AUGUCGCCCAACCCACACUGUAGAGGCUGUGUGGAACACAAGAAACCCCGCGCCAAACUCAGCCACCCGCACAAGGACAUCACAGCUCCGGCUCUGAAAGAUAGCUUCAAAGGAGAACUAUGCAAGGCUGGCGCCGCAGAAGACCACCGAACAGACCACCUGCUACCUGUCAUCGUCGCCACAGGGGCCCCGUCGCUGCAGCUCCGACUUCACGGCAGCAAAACAACCCGAGGUAAUCCCACAAACACGCCGGAGAAGAGCCGACUACCGCAACCAUUGCCGCGUCUCCGACAUUGCACACGCCCAUCAUCCUUGCCACAGAAGCCUCGACGCAAAACACCACCAACUUCCAUCGGUCCUGCUUGA
rnacentral:rRNA from 1 species